AUGAUCUUGGAAGUGUGGGGCAAAGUUGGAGUCAUGUCAUCUUUACAGCUCUGGCAUUCUGGGCUAGUCUAAGGGUUACCAUAAGUUAGGGGAGCCCCAAUGAAACAGGAGAUAGAGAUAGGAAGUAAAAGGACAUUCGGAUGGAUUCAGUACUGUGGGCUCACCAAAGAGAUGAGCUAAUGAUCCUAAUACAGGAAGCAGUUUUUACCUGAUUUGCAGUGGGUGUGGCAUGCUACUUCUUUUCUUCCAGGCUGAUCUGUCAUAAUGGAGCACUCUCCAUAAAUUAGUUUACAAAAUUACUACCACCACUGUUUCCUCUCUCCUAGCCCAUCAAGAUCUAUGUCUGCUAUGGUGUUCAAUGACAGACAGGCAGGUGACUUCUUAGAAAUUCUUUAUCGUUUUCAAGCUUAAAAGAAAAGGAAAGUGGGGAUAGGAAGAAAGACCUGUGAAGUAUGCAUGUAGACAAUCUAUGUAACCAUAUGUUCCCCUUGCCAUUACCCUCAUCUCUUGCACUCAUCACUUCUAUUGAGUGCUAUCCCACCCGUCACAAGUUGCUUUCAAUUAGACUGCAAGCUUCUUAGGGCAGAGGUUGAACGGGCCCUAAUCCUGUUUGAAACCUCCAAGUGCCACCAUAACAACUAAUUAUGAUGACUUCUUUCUUUGCUUAGUCCUUCUCAUUUUCUUCAGGAGUAAUUAGGACCACAUCAGCAUCAGUCUUUUCACCUACAGAUAAGCAUUUUCUUCUGGAUACAAUCAUAUACAUCCAGGGGUGGAUCCAGGUGGGAUGCAGUGGUGCAACUGCACCUCCCUUUGAUUUCUGCUCCACCCAAACUUUAAAACCAACUGCCUGAGAAGGAAGCAGCAUUUCUAUUCAUCAUCACUCAGACAACACAUAGAGGUUCACCUACUCCUUCAUGCAAGUCAGGUUCUACAACACCCUCAUGGAAUUUUCCAUAAGAUUUCUAAUUCACCAGACUGUACCGGAGUCAGCAUUUGGAAACACAGCAUGGCUGGGAGAACCUCCCCAACAGACUCCUCCAGGUUCCCCUAUCACACCUUACCAGCACUGUUCAGACUAGUAAAAACAUUGUCAUCUGAGAAUGGUUAACCUUGGGUUACCAACAAACCAGCCAACAUGUUUAAAGGAGACACAAUUAACACUGAAAUGAUGUUGGCGUAAGCAUUCCACAGAAUACUAUCACUGUACCAUCCUGACAUUCCUCUGGGAAAGGGCUGAUUUGGCUGAUUAUUCAUCACGUUGGUUAAGAACAGGUGGUGAGGACAGAAAGGGUGACAGCAGUAUAAGAGAAUGUAGACACCUACGUGAAACAGGCGUAUGGAACAGUAUCUGUUACAAUAAGUUUCUCACAAGUAGCAAAUUGCUACAUAUUCUUAAAAAAGAAUUCUUGAUUUGGCAGCAGUAGAACAUGGUAUGACUGUUGCAGACAAUGAGUACUAUUUAGCCUCAAGUGUUAUUAUGAGUCAUGAAAGAGGAAGUGCUCAUUCACUCUGCUUUUAUGCCAUUUUUGGGGGGUGCAUUUUACUUUCAAAGCACAGGGAGUUUCUACAAUUGCCUUGAUUACUUUUGGAUGGCGUCUCCAGAGCCCCUGGUUUUCCUACUCAGGAAGUGUUAGUGGGUGGUUUUGUUAACUACAUUGCUAAGCAAGUUCCUCAGGCUGGAGCAUGCAAGCCAAAACUUGGUUGAAUAUCUUCUCAGAAAAGAGAGCCUGAAACUCUUUUAUUAGGGGAAAUAUGUUCAAAGUACUCCAAAAGAAAAAUAAAAUGUUGGAAGCUGGUGGUC
ensembl:lncRNA